rnacentral:rRNA from 1 species
UACGGGGGGAGCAAGCGUUGUUCGGAUUUACUGGGCGUAAAGGGCGCGUAGGCGGCGCAACAAGUCACUUGUGAAAUCUCCGGGCUUAACCCGGAGCGGUCAAGUGAUACUGUCGUGCUAGAGUGCGGAAGGGGCUACUGGAAUUCUCGGUGUAGCGGUGAAAUGCGUAGAUAUCGAGAGGGAACACCUGCGGCGAAGGCGGGUAGCUGGGCCGACACUGACGCUGAUGCGCGAAAGCCAGGGGAGCCGAACGGG